AUUUAAUUGUUUCUAUUUUGAUCUGCUUCAAAAUGAACAUGGAAGCACUUGACCCUUCGCCUCUUCUGCGGUCUUCAUUGAUCUGCCGUAUUUAUGGAACCUUCCCCAAGGCAGACCUCAAUGACACCAGAUUUGUAUGUAUAUACCAGCACUAGCAAUGGGUGUGGGCUGUGGUUGCUAUUUUGUGGCGUGCAGAUAAAAUAUGUUUUUGGUAGGUCCCUUCUCUUCCUGUCAAUAAAUUAUUCCCUUAAAGGGAAACGGGGGAAAAUUUGACUUAUUUUAUAACUUGCUAUAAAAACUGACAGCAGCCAUAACACUGCAGCAAUUCAUUUACACACAGCCCUACUCUCCUCAUUUUUAUCAAAUUUGGCCUUAAGCAACUACAAGCUUAGUGUAGAUUUGAAUCCUUUUGCACAUCACCUUUGUGACAUUACUUAGUGAAUUUUUAAACCUUUUCAAGUGUAAGUAUUCAAUAUGUAGUGUACUGUUCUGUAUAUCAACGUGGGUAUCCUGUGAGGUUGCUCUCAUGGGCUCUGCCCAGGUGGCGUAUGGGAGCGUAGUGUCUUCAGGCGCUGUGACGUAUAUUCCCCUUCCACAACGUUGUAGAGCAUGCGUGUCCCCGGGCCCUUUGGUCUGGUGUGGACAGCGUCCUGUAUAUUCCUAAAACUUCCUAGAGCCUUUGGGCAGUGACUGGGGAGACAAACCAUGCAGGAUACACAUUUUUUUUAAAGCAAUAUGUUGUGUGUAUGGAGAGUUUUUGUUCAGCUUACAAUGGAGACAUUGAUGUAACAUUUAUCAGCAGAACGCUAACUAAUCAAAUGUAUUGACUUAAGCCUGUAUAAUUAACAAAAUGUAUAAGAGCACAGGUUUUUUUUUUUGUCUCUUAAUUUGUACUUUUUCCUAUCCUCCCUGUUUAAGAUUUCUUUAAUACAAAAACUGAAUUCCACUUCUGGUUUUUGAAGUUCCAGGUAAGUAAGGAGAAAGUUCCAUGUAGGAUGGUUAUUGGCAUUGUUUUAACUUUUUUUAUAUAUGAAAUUUAUGCUAUUGAAUAUUUUUAUGGUCUCUAAUAAACAUUGAUCCAGAUCUGAA